UACGGAGGGUGCAAACGUUGCUCGGAAUCAUUGGGCGUAAAGCGCACGUAGGCGGUCCAGCAAGUCGGGUGUGAAAGCCCUCGGCUUAACCGAGGAAGUGCAUUCGAAACUACUGGGCUUGAAUACUGGAGAGGGUUGCGGAAUUCCCGGUGUAGAGGUGAAAUUCGUAGAUAUCGGGAGGAACACCAGUGGCGAAGGCGGCAACCUGGACAGAUAUUGACGCUGAGGUGCGAAAGCGUGGGGAGCAAACAGG
rnacentral:rRNA from 1 species